UACGGGGGGGGCAAGCGUUGUUCGGAAUUACUGGGCGUAAAGGGCUCGUAGGCGGCCAACUAAGUCAGACGUGAAAUCCCUCGGCUUAACCGGGGAACUGCAUCUGAUACUGGAUGGCUUGAGUUUGGGAGAGGGAUGCGGAAUUCCAGGUGUAGCGGUGAAAUGCGUAGAUAUCUGGAGGAACACCGGUGGCGAAGGCGGCAUCCUGGACCAACACUGACGCUGAGGAGCGAAAGCGUGGGGAGCGAUCCGG
rnacentral:rRNA from 1 species